rnacentral:rRNA from 1 species
GAAGCUUGACGAAUGAUUUCUUCGGAAUGAAAUCUGAUAUGACUGAGUGGCGGACGGGUGAGUAACGCGUGAGCAACCUGCCCUUCGGAGGGGGAUAGUGUCUGGAAACGGACAGUAAUACCGCAUAACGUAUUUUUACCGCAUGAUAGAAAUACCAAAACUGAGGUGCCGAAGGAUGGGCUCGCGUUGGAUUAGAUAGUUGGUGGGGUAACGGCCUACCAAGUCGACGAUCCAUAGCCGGACUGAGAGGUUGAACGGCCACAUUGGGACUGAGACACGGCCCAGACUCCUACGGGAGGCAGCAGUGGGGAAUAUUGCACAAUGGGGGAAACCCUGAUGCAGCAACGCCGCGUGAAGGAAGACGGUUUUCGGAUUGUAAACUUCUGUUCUUAGUGAAGAAGAAUGACGGUAGCUAAGGAGCAAGCCACGGCUAACUACGUGCCAGCAGCCGCGGUAAUACGUAGGUGGCAAGCGUUGUCCGGAAUUACUGGGUGUAAAGGGAGCGCAGGCGGGAAGCCAAGUCAGCUGUGAAAACUACGGGCUUAACUUGUAGACUGCAGUUGAAACUGGUUUUCUUGAGUGAAGUAGAGGUUGGCGGAAUUCCGAGUGUAGCGGUGAAAUGCGUAGAUAUUCGGAGGAACACCGGUGGCGAAGGCGGCCAACUGGGCUUUAACUGACGCUGAGGCUCGAAAGUGUGGGGAGCAAACAGGAUUAGAUACCCUGGUAGUCCACACCGUAAACGAUGAUUACUAG